ensembl:lncRNA
CCGGCCCCCGGGGGGGUGGUGGUCUCUGGAGACCAGACUGAAUCAGAGGCAGAGAGAUGUGAUGCAGCGACGGCGGCACCAAACGUCUGAGACUGGUCCUCGAGAAGAAAAAAAACAUCUGGGUUUGGUUUGUUAGAAAAAAUGUGGGUGAGAAAAAAACAAACAAACAAACAAACCAACAGUGGUUCAGAGAGGAGCAGAGCGGGAGGGAAAGCUCAGCGGGGAACAACAGCAAGUCAAUACCACGUUGGGGUUUGGAAAACGUGGACGAUUGGACAAUGAAUCCUGCGCCUGGAGACACCUGUUCCACAGAAUGAGCAUCACUUAUCCUUUUUUCUUCUCCUGGAUCCCAACCGACAUGAUUCACACGGAGAAACCACAACCCGCUGAAAAUGAAUACACACACAUUUGUAAGCUACAAAUGGAUCUUCAAGACGUCACUACUCAUGUGACUUCUUGUAUAUUCUUUGAAGCCUUCUGGAAACUGUCCCACUUGAUCUCAUCCACUUUCCAGGCGAGUGUGCCUAAUAUCUUUUUUUAGUUGUGAGUCAAGCAUAAUUGCACAGCAGUUGCCAUUG